GAUGAACGCUGGCGGCGUGCUUAACACAUGCAAGUCGAACGGAAAGGCCCAAGCUUGCUUGGGUACUCGAGUGGCGAACGGGUGAGUAACACGUGGGUGAUCUGCCCUGCACUUCGGGAUAAGCCUGGGAAACUGGGUCUAAUACCGGAUAGGACCACAUUUUGGAUGGUGUGGUGGAAAGUUUUUCGGUGUGGGAUGAGCUCGCGGCCUAUCAGCCUGUUGGUGGGGUAAUGGCCUACCAAGGCGUCGACGGGUAGCCGGCCCGAGAGGGUGUACGGCCACAUUGGGACUGAGAUACGGCCCAGACUCCUACGGGAGGCAGCAGUGGGGAAUAUUGCACAAUGGGCGCAAGCCUGAUGCAGCGACGCCGCGUGGGGGAUGACGGCCUUCGGGUUGUAAACUCCUUUCGCUAGGGACGAAGCGCAAGUGACGGUACCUGGAGAAGAAGCACCGGCUAACUACGUGC
rnacentral:rRNA from 1 species